rnacentral:rRNA from 1 species
CUGGUUGAUUCUGCCAGUAGUUAUAUGCUUGUCUCAAAGAUUAAGCCAUGCAUGUGUAAGUAUAAGCUUUUAAACGGCGAAACUGCGAAUGGCUCAUUAAAACAGUUAUAUUCUCUUUGGUAAUGAUUUGUUACAUGGAUAUCCUUAGUAAUUCUAGUGCUAAUACAUGCGAAAAAGCUCGACUUAUGAAGAGCCUCGUUUAUUAGAUACGAAACCAGCGCGGACUUUGUCUGCUUUUACUUGGUGAAGCGUAAUAAACUAGAGAAUCGUGCGAAUUUUUCGACGAUAUACCAUUCGAGUUUCUGACCUAUCAUGCUGUGAUGGUAGGGUAUUGGCCUACCAUGGCUUUGACGGGUAACGGGGAAUUAGGGUUCGAUUCCGGAGAGGGAGCCUGAGAGACGGCUACCACAUCUAAGGAAGGCAGCAGGCGCGUAAAUUACCCAAUCCCGACUCGGGGAGGUAGUGACAAGAAAUAACAAUUCAGGACUUUAUUAGUUUUGUAAUUGGAAUGAGUAAAGUUUAAAUCACUUUACGAUUAACAAUUGGAGGGCAAGUCUGGUGCCAGCAGCCGCGGUAAUUCCAGCUCCAAUAGCGUAUGCUAAAGUUGUUGCGGUUAAAAAGCUCGUAGUUGGAUUUCUGUUAGAAUUUUUUAUGAAUGUCCUUAGGGAUAUUUCUUUAAUUUUGACAUAUCUUCGGAUUUUGCAGAAAAUUAAUUUUGACUGCUCUUCCGAUAUUUUACUUUGAGGAAAUUAGAGUGUUCAAGACAGGCUUAUGCCUUGUAUAUAUUAGCAUGGAAUAAUAAGAUAUGACUUUAGUUGUAUUUUGUUGGCUUCAUAACUAAAGUAAUGAUUAAUAGAAACAGUCGGGGGCAUUCGUAUUUGAAAGUCAGAGGUGAAAUUCUUGGACCUUUCAACGACGAACUAGUGCGAAAGCAUUUGCCAAGUAUGUUUUCAUUGAUCAAGAACGAAAGUUAGGGGAUCGAAGACGAUCAGAUACCGUCGUAGUCCUAGCUAUAAACUAUGCCAACUAGGGAUUGGAGAAUGCAAUUUGUGCUUCUUCAGCACCUCGUGAGAAAUCAAAGUCUUUGGGUUCCGGGGGGAGUAUGGUCGCAAGGCUGAAACUUAAAGGAAUUGACGGAAGGGCACCACCAGGAGUGGAGCCUGCGGCUUAAUUCGACUCAACACGGGAAAACUCACCAGGGCCAGACAUGGGAAGGAUUGACAGAUUGACAGCUCUUUCUUGAUUCUAUGGGUGGUGGUGCAUGGCCGUUCUUAGUUGGUGGAGUGAUUUGUCUGGUUAAUUCCGUUAACGAACGAGACCUUAACCUGCUAAAUAGUGCGGAGUAUACAGUGUCCGAUAAGUUUAUGGUUUCCGUCUUCUCCAUACGGGCUUGCUCGUUUUGGCAGUUGACAUGAUACUGUCUACACGUACACAUCCAAUGUAUAUAUCUGAACUUCUUAGAGGGACUUUGUGUGUUAACACAAGGAAGCUUGAGGCAAUAACAGGUCUGUGAUGCCCUUAGAUGUCCUGGGCUGCACGCGCGCUACACUGGCACAAUCAACAAGUCUCCUUUCUCGACAGAGCUAGGUAAUCUUAUAAAUUGUGCCGUGAUCGGGAUAGACGAUUGCAAUUAUUCGUCUUCAACGAGGAAUUCCUAGUAAACGCAAGUCAUCAGCUUGCGUUGAUUACGUCCCUGCCCUUUGUACACACCGCCCGUCGCUACCGCCGAUUGUAUGGUCCGGUGAGCCGUUUGGACUCCGCAAGCCUUGAGCGAGUGGGGAAAGUUCUGCGAACCUUAUCAUAUAGAGGUGGUAAAAGUCGUAACAAGGUACGAGUAGGUGAACCA